rnacentral:lncRNA from 1 species
GGCCUCGUGGGAAUUAGUGCAGGCUGCACUCCAGAAUUUUUCCAUAUCCAGGAUAUAGACCAAAGAAUAGGGAUAUUCUCUUUAUUCUUAUCACUGAUGUGAUGGAGGGAACCGGGGCUGGGGGACAAAGACAUUUUGGGCAGCUGGGAAGGCUUAGGAAGCAGUCAGAAGAUAAAAAGUCAGGAAGAUGCAGGGCCCAUAGCACGCCAUCCGUUCUGGAACCUUCUAAGCCUGGAAAACAGCAGAGAGCCCGCGCUGACUCCAGUAUGAAACUGUCCCCUGGCCGGCUGCAUUGUUACUUGGCCGGUGCUCGCACCUUCCUGCCAGCAAUAUCGAAUAGCAAGAAGCUGAAUGUCCGCUCUGUGCGUGCAUUAAGAGAUCAGUGGCCGGAAGAGCAGUGCCUCUCGGCGAAGAAAAUCUCCAUCCCUGAUAGAUCUCCCCCACAUACGUCAAAUCGGCUACCUCUCUGUUUCCUGAGCUAUUCUUUAAUAGCUAAAAUUUUACGCAAACAAAGCUAGAAUAUUGAUUGCUGUGCAAAGAUGGAAC